rnacentral:rRNA from 1 species
UACGUAGGUGGCAAGCGUUGUCCGGAUUUACUGGGCGUAAAGGGAGCGUAGGUGGAUAUUUAAGUGGGAUGUGAAAUACUCGGGCUUAACCUGAGUGCUGCAUUCCAAAACUGGAUAUCUAGAGUGCAGGAGAGGAAAAGUAGAAUUCCUAGUGUAGCGGUGAAAAUGCGUAGAGAUUAGGAAGAAUACCAGUGGCGAAGGCGACUUUCUGGACUGUAACUGACACUGAGGCUCGAAAAGCGUGGGGAGCAAACAGG